UUUUUUAAUUGAAAACUUGUAUGAAAGGUUGGUUGAGAUAUUAUCUGUUUCAUAAAAAUUUAAAUAGAAUUUUAUUUUUUAGUUAAAAAGCUAAAAUUUUAUUAUUAGACGAGAAGACCCUAUAAAGUUUUAUAUUUUGUUAAUUAUUAAUUAAUUUAAUUUUUUUAUAUUUUUUUUUUAUAAAGUAUUUUAUUGGGGAGAUAAUAAAAUUUAUAAAACUUUUAUUUAAUUUUUACAUGAAUUAAUGAGUAUAUGAUCCUUUAUUAUGGAUUAAAAGUUUAAAUUACUUUAGGGAUAACAGCGUAAUUUUUUUUUUAAGUUCAAAUUUAUAAAAAAGUUUGC
rnacentral:rRNA from 1 species